UAAGAUCGGCGCUCCCCAAGGCGAACUGCUCGGUCGAAUGAAACCCUUGUCUAACAGCUCCUGAAGCUGUGUAGACAACUCCUGCAUCUCAGGGGGAGCAAGUCGAUAUGGUGCUUUGGCUAUCGGAGCCGCACCAGGAACCAGGUCGAUCCUGAACUCACCCUGCCUCUCAGGAGGUAUCCCCGGCAAAUCCUCGGGAAACACAUCCGGGUAAUCUCGAACAAUAGGAACAUCAUCGAUCGUCGUCUUGCCCUUAUCCCGGGCAUCCAAGACGUAGGCUACAUAACCGGCGCAACCCUGCUGAACGUAGCGCCUCGCCCUAGCGGCAGAGCAGAAGGUCAAUCCUCGCUGGGGCCUCUCGCCCUGAANCGUAGCGCCUCGCCCUUGCGGCGGAACAAAAGGUCGGUCCUCGCUGGGGCCUCUCGCCCUGAAUCACUAUCUCUCCCCCACUGGGAGUGCGAACCCUCACUAGCUGAAGCUCACAAUCAAUCACCGCCCCAUUGGGGCUUAGCCAAUCCAUGCCCACAAUAACUUUAUUCCCUCGCAGGGGAAUAGGAACCAGGUCCACUGAAAACUGCUCAUCAAAUAUCUGAAGGGAACACCCUUUAUGUACUCUGCCGACCCUCACGGUCCUAUCAUCUACUAUCUCAACCUCUAAUGGACAAUCCAGCUCCCCUGGAGCUAUGCUAAAUCUCUUGCUAAGCGCAAGCGAUACAAAUGAUCGGGUGGCCCCCGAAUCGAACAAUACCAAAGCAGGGAUGCCGUUCACCAAGAACGACCCUAAAUAAAACAUAUCAUCAAGUAAUAUUCAAAUGAUAUACUAAAAAUUAAAAGAUGAAGGAAAUAUACAUACCCGUCACCACAUCAGGAGUCGCUCGCGCCUCCUCUGCUGUCAUCUAAAAUGCCCUGCUCUUCGCCACUGGCGCAUCAGCUCGGCCCUGCCGGCCAUCCGUAAUCCUCAAGGUGGCAGGGGCAGGUGCAAACACCUUCCCUGCUGCAGCUAAACUGGGACACUGGGACUUUUUAUGUCCCCUCUGAUUGCACUGAAAGCAAAUCAGAUUUGAUGUUGUAACCGUAGUAGCAGGGGCCGUACAAUCCCUACUCAAAUGCCCAGUCCGACCGCACUUGUAGCAGCCGGAACUCCCUGCCUUGCACGCCCCCUCGUGCAAUCUCCCACACUUGCCACACCGACCGUGGCUCUGCUGACCCCUGGACCUAUGAUCUGAAACCUUGGGCUUUUUGCCCACACUACCUGAACCCGAAACCGCCUUCGGUUUCCUCUUCUUCUCCAUCUCGAGAUCAAUCUCCCUCUCCCUGGCUCUAGCAAUCAUGUCGUCCAGCGUUUUACAACUGGACCGGCUCACAAACAUGCGAAUGUCACUCCGCAACAUCUCAUGAUAACGGGCCUUCUUCAUCUCCUCAUCGGCUGCAUACUGUGGAACAAGAAGAGCCCUCUCCGUGAACUUGGCG
rnacentral:lncRNA from 1 species